AGUGAACGCUGGCGGUAGGCCUAACACAUGCAAGUCGAACGGCAGCACAGUAAGAGCUUGCUCUUACGGGUGGCGAGUGGCGGACGGGUGAGGCAUACAUCGGAAUCUACUUUUUCGUGGGGGAUAACGUAGGGAAACUUACGCUAAUACCGCAUACGACCUACGGGUGAAAGCAGGGGAUCUUCGGACCUUGCGCGAUUGAAUGAGCCGAUGUCGGAUUAGCUAGUUGGCGGGGUAAAGGCCCACCAAGGCGACGAUCCGUAGCUGGUCUGAGAGGAUGAUCAGCCACACUGGAACUGAGACACGGUCCAGACUCCUACGGGAGGCAGUAGUGGGGAAUAUUGGACAAUGGGCGCAAGCCUGAUCCAGCCAUACCGCGUGGGUGAAGAAGGCCUUCGGGUUGUAAAGCCCUUUUGUUGGGAAAGAAAAGCAGCAGGUUAAUACCCCGCUGUUCUGACGGUACCCAAAGAAUAAGCACCGGCUAACUUCGUG
rnacentral:rRNA from 1 species